rnacentral:rRNA from 1 species
GGAGGGUGCAAGCGUUAUCCGGAUUCACUGGGUUUAAAGGGUGCGUAGGUGGCUUUGUAAGUCAGUGGUGAAAUCUUAGAGCUUAACUCUAAAACUGCCAUUGAUACUGCUUAGCUUGAAUCAAGUCGAGGUGGAUGGAAUAUUACAUGUAGCGGUGAAAUGCUUAGAUAUGUAAUAGAACACCGAUUGCGAAGGCAGUUCACUAGGCUUGUAUUGACACUGAGGCACGAAAGCGUGGGGAUCAAACAGGAUUAGAUACCCUGGUAGUCCACGCCCUAAACGAUGUAAACUCGACAUUAGCGAUAUACAGUUAGUGUCCAAGCGAAAGCGUUAAGUUUACCACCUGGGAAGUACGACCGCAAGGUUG